AACGAACGCUGGCGGCAUGCCUAACACAUGCAAGUCGAACGAAGCCUUCGGGCUUAGUGGCGCACGGGUGCGUAACGCGUGGGAAUCUGCCCUUGGGUUCGGAAUAACAGUUAGAAAUGACUGCUAAUACCGGAUGAUGUCUUCGGACCAAAGAUUUAUCGCCCAAGGAUGAGCCCGCGUAGGAUUAGGUAGUUGGUGGGGUAAUGGCCCACCAAGCCGACGAUCCUUAGCGGGUCCGAGAGGAUGAUCAGCCACACUGGGACUGAGAAACGGCCCAGACUCCUACGGGAGGCAGCAGUGGGGAAUAUUGGACAAUGGGCGAAAGCCUGAUCCAGCAAUGCCGCGUGAGUGAUGAAGGCUUUAGGGUUGUAAAGCUCUUUUACCAGGGAUGAUAAUGACAGUACCUGGAGAAUAAGCCCCGGCUAACUCCGUGCCAGCCGCCGCGGUAAGAC
rnacentral:rRNA from 1 species